AUUGAACGCUGGCGGCAUGCUUUACACAUGCAAGUCGAACGGUAACAGGGUGCUUGCACCGCUGACGAGUGGCGAACGGGUGAGUAAUGCGUCGGAACGUGCCGGGUAGUGGGGGAUAACGCAUCGAAAGGUGUGCUAAUACCGCAUACGAACUGAGGUUGAAAGUGGGGGACCUUCGGGCCUCACGCUAUUCGAGCGGCCGACGUCUGAUUAGCUAGUUGGGGAGGUAAAGGCUCACCAAGGCGACGAUCAGUAGCGGUUCUGAGAGGAUGAUCCGCCACACUUGGACUGAGACAAGGCCCAGACUCCUACGGGAGGCAGCAGUGGGGAAUUUUGGACAAUGGGCGCAAGCCUGAUCCGGCCAUGCCGCGUGUCUGAAGAAGGCCUUCGGGUUGUAAAGGACUUUUGUCCGGGGGCAAAUGCUGGUGGCUAACAUCCACCGGAGCUGAGAGUACCGGAAGAAUAAGCACCGGCUAACUACGUGCCAGCCGCCGCAGUAACAC
rnacentral:rRNA from 1 species